CAGGCGAACGAUAGCUUUGACACGGCUCAGCAGGACCUCGGGUGCGCGGACAGAAGCUGCGUCCUGCGAAAGCUGUGCGAGGGAGGCGACCUGGAGGGGGCUAUGGCGCAAUAUUUCACACAAGAGCAAAUCACGGAGAUUCACAACGCUGCCACCACAUGCGAUCCCGACGCUGAAAAUGAAGAUAACCGCCGCUGAAAGAUGACCGCGCAUACAAUAUUCUGUAAGCCAGAGUUCAUGCACGUGUACAGAUAAACGCCGGAAUGCCAUCAAUGAAAAUCUGCACAGCCACAUCCUUCUGCGCUGUUUACUCUUUUAUGAUGAUAAUUAAAUUCAAG